GCCGCGGUAGCUCAAUCGGUAGAGCCGCCGCCUCUUAAGCGGAAGGUCGCUGGUUCGAUCCCAGCCCGCGGCA
rnacentral:tRNA from 1 species